rnacentral:lncRNA from 10 species
GGGCGGGGCCAACGGACCGCGGAGGCGGAGCCGCUACAGUCUGGGCGCUGGAGCGGUGGGAGCAGCGCUCGUCCGCCGUUGGGGCCCCCAGCCCGCGCGCGUGAAGCAGCUAGCCGACCAAGCCCCGGAAGGCGAGUGCCGGAGGGGGCGGGACAGCUCCUCCGGGGCCAGCGGGCACCAGGCUUGGGGGCUGAGGCCCAGCGGCCCGAGACCAACUGGGCUGACCGAGGCCGCCUCCCCGCCAGCCCUGGGGUCCACUGCCCGGGGAGCAGCUCCCUUCCCAGGUCAGACUCGGGCUUCAUCCUCUCUUGCCGCGCGCCGAGCGGUUUUCAACUCUCACUGCUAGAAUUCCUCCAACCACCCAGGAUAGCAGGACCGAGAUACAUGGCCACCCAUGACCCGGAGCGUCCACUUCCAGGGACAGGCAGUGGUGAUUGGCUUCGGUUGUCAUCUGUGCCAUCUGUCCAUGGUUCGAGAAGCUGCUGUUCACGUUUUGGGGAGGAUCAUGGUUUGAGGGCUCCCGUGGUAGAAUUUGGGGAGCUCUCAUAGGCAGAAGGCUGAGAAAAGUUGGUGCUGUGGGAAGUCAACUGGCAGCCGAUGGAGUCGGGACCCGGGAGGAAUGGAAAGGGAACCCAGAUAGGAAGCUACUGCAGUAGGCUCAGAGAGGUGAUGACGGCAGGGCUAAGACAGCGGCCUUGGGCGGUGACUGGGAAGAACGUUGAACACCGUGUUUGGGCUGAAGAAAAGAGCAAGGGAAGAGGUGAGGAACUUCAGUCCCAGCUGCUCUGGAGUUUGAGGCAGGAGGAUGGCUUGAACCCAAGAGGUGGAGGCUGAAGUGAGCCAAGAUCGCGCCACUGCACUCCAGCCUGGGCGACAGGGCAAAACCCUGUCUCUAAAAAGAACUUUUUAAAAAAGCACCUGUAGAUUUAAGCACAUAAUAACUACACUUUUGUCUGUUUUAUUAUGAUAUCAAAGUUAAAUUUAUGAUGAAUGACUAACUGGACAAAACUGAGAGCAACCACCACAGAGGUGAAUAUACUGAAUGUAUAACACUCUCUAAUAAUUUUAAGAACUCCGCUCUAAUGAGCAGAUAUCACAGAAAGAGACUUUUCAGAUGAAAUACCGAUGACCAGGAAAUCUGUGAGACCAUUUUAAAAAAUUCGAAGUCAUUGAAGAAAUGCAAAGCUUCCAGGCUCCACUUUUCACUGAUGAAAUUGGCAGAGUUUGGGACAAUGAGAUGUUGCUGUCCCGGGAGUGCGGAUGGGGCUGUGUCCUGUGAUGGCGGUGGGCACUGGCACUCUUGUCCAGAAAGACAUUCACCACUGUGGUUCAAGAAGCACCUCAAAGGUCUUCACCUUGGUCCCUUGUCCACCUCUGCCCGCGGUCUCUCCUCCUUUCAGCCUCCUCUUUCCCACACAGUCCCUCCCGCCCUGGCUUGGUCCCCUUUCUUCUGACUGGGUCAGGCAUGUGGGUGACUCUUUGACUUCCAAGGCUCUGUCUACUUGGCUUUUUUCUUUCACCUGUUCUGCAGAAUAACAGCCUGAUUCGUUCCUCUUUUUGGGUCCUUCACUUCCAUACCUGGGAUUCGGGGCGUGGCCCAGAAAGACCCUGCAGUCUUGCAGUGUGGGGCUGCCAGCAUUUCAUGGCCUCCAAGCUCAGCUGGGCUGAAUGAACGCUGCCAUCCAGCGCUUGGCUCAUUUUCUGUCCCAUUUUCCUGAGUGCUUUUGCCAGACUUACACUUUUCUGAAAGCUACUCCACCCUACCCCAGACACACCCUCUCUCCUCGGAUGACCUGCCUCCUAAUUUCCUGAGAAAACUGGACAUGGCCACCUUUCCCCAGUGUCUGAGGCCCAGGUUGACCCGUGGUCAUGGUCGCUGUCACCACCCACCUGCCUGUAUGACAGAGUGAGACCCUGUCUCAAAAAAAAAUAAAAAGAAUGCCUCAUGUUA